AACAAGAUAACAUUUUUUUUUUGUCGAAGGAAAGAGCACACUUACGCAGGUUAGGGACAGGACUGAAUCACUUUUAAAACUAUUGCAAUUUUAACAUGAUAACAUCACUGGGAAGAGUUUUAGGCACAAUACAUGCUUGACUUAAACAUCAAAGGAAAAUCAAACCUUCGAACGAAAGAAAAUCAAAGGAAAAAAGAAAAAGAAAGAUAAUAGAAAUAAAGAAAAAUAACUUGUAGUCAUACAAAUGAUACUUUGCCUAAUAAAAUUUAAUUUAUAUUUCUUAUGUUUUUCUUCCUUUGCCUCCUCAGUUGUUUCCUUCCAAAAGUUUUCACAAACCAAU
rnacentral:misc_RNA from 1 species